UACGUAGGGUGCAAGCGUUGUCCGGAAUUAUUGGGCGUAAAGAGCUCGUAGGCGGUUCGUCGCGUCUGCUGUGAAAACGCGAGGCUCAACCUCGCGCCUGCAGUGGGUACGGGCAGACUAGAGUGCGGUAGGGGAGAUUGGAAUUCCUGGUGUAGCGGUGGAAUGCGCAGAUAUCAGGAGGAACACCGAUGGCGAAGGCAGAUCUCUGGGCCGUAACUGACGCUGAGGAGCGAAAGCGUGGGAGCGAACAGG
rnacentral:rRNA from 1 species